rnacentral:lncRNA from 1 species
GUCCAUUUUGUAAAUACUUUUUGUGUCUUAGCCUAAUGCUGUUAAUUCCACAAGGAACUAAUAGUAGUUCGGUAGGUGAGCUGUCAUGUUUUGUAAACCUCUUUCUACGAAAGGGAAAUUGACACUUGAACUCUGCCACCAUUUUCCUUAAUAGAAGGAAGGUGAGGCACCACCUAGUGAGGAUUUUUAAAAAUCCAUCUCAUUCAAUAUUGUUCUUAGAUAACUACAGCAUUGCAACCUUAAGCUACUAAAAUGACAUGGGAUUUCCAGCUCACGUAUGUGAGAACAUCCUGAAGACAGGAUAUUAUGGGUCAACUGCUAAAGAGCUGACAUAAGAUUGCUCUGCCUUCAGUAACACAUGGUUCCUGACAGUUCUGCUUGUUUUCAAUUGAAAAUGGCUGGAACAUACAUUAACAAUCUUCAGAAAGAGAAAAUUAAGCUUAGAUAGUAUCAAGAUACCAACAAGGUACUUGCUUGAAAUAUUUUGAUGUUAGCAGGAAUUCAUUGCAUUAAAUACCUGGUAGAUGGGUUUGGAGUCUCUCUUAGCUAUGAGUUCCAAAAAGACAUUAUCUUCUGACUAGGACAAGGAGAGACAAUGUAGUAUACUACAGUUUAUUAAAAGGUCAUGAAGGUUUGAAAGACUGACAUGGGAAAUAUUUUCAUUGGUUGCUAUAACCCCUCUAUUCUGUAUACCAUGCAAAAUCUAUAUAGAUCUUAUCAGCUGCCUCAGAUCUUUGUCCCAUAUCCCUACUCCUGUCUAAACACACCCAAAGCAUAAGAUUCCAGAAGCCCAGUAUGUAAGUGUGCUUGGCUCAUACCCAGAAGCCCAUCCACCUCAGCAGUAAACCAGAAUAGGGCUCCCAGACACGUCUCACUUCUGGGAUGCCUUUCCUUGCAAAAGACAUUCCAGGCCCUGAGUCCUUGGAGGUAUGAGUAAGUACAUGAAUGAAGCAAUAGCAGUAGUCCACAGCAAGAGAUGUCCCAGGAUUAUAAAACAGGAAAUCUGUCUCCUCUUCAAUGUCACAAACUUUUUAGAAGUACUAACAUGUUGUAGUUUAAUUUCAUGUUUUACUUGAAGCAGAAGGUGUUGCUUGAAAGAGGAGUCAUUUUGUAUUAUUUUUUUGCUAAUACCCAUUUGGAGCUAUAAAGUAAUACUAUGAUCCUGUGAAUUAAUUUAUAAGUGUUAAACAGUGUGGAAAUAUGCAUCCUUUAAAUCAAGCAGCUGAACACUUACUAAAGUGUUCCUGUAUAGCAGGUAUUUAAUGGUCACAGUUGUUUCACUUCAACUGUGAUUGUUUUUAACAUUUUUUAAUGCCUUCUUUGAAAUGUACAGUGUGACUUCACUCCUGCAAAACCAGAAAUGUUACUUUUGUUCCAAUAAAUUGAAACUGCUUGUACACUUUCAACAAAGCUUGUGAAUUUAUAAAGACUUUAUAACUUCUUUCUGUGCUGGUGUAAUUUGAUUUACUCGUGGUAUGGAGUUUGUGGCUUGGGGGAUUUGUGGUUAAAUAAAAGCUAUACUGAAGUU